rfam:Parcubacteria bacterium GW2011_GWA2_38_13 TS74_C0008, whole genome shotgun sequence.
CGGGGUGUAGUAUAACGGCAUUACACAAGGCUGGGGGUCUUGUUACCGGGGUUCAACUCCCCGCACCCCGA